CAGAGGUCUCAAGCGUUGUUCGGAUUCAUUGGGCGUAAAGGCGCGUAGGCGGCCAUCUAAGUCAGACGUGAAAUCCCCCGGCUUAACCUGGGAACUGCGUCUGAUACUGGAAGGCUUGAGUAUGGGAGAGGGAUGUAGAAUUCCAGGUGUAGCGGUGAAAUGCGUAGAUAUCUGGAGGAAUACCGGUGGCGAAGGCGGCAUCCUGGACCAUUACUGACGCUGAGG
rnacentral:rRNA from 1 species